CCAAUAGCGUAUAUUAAAGUUGUUGCAGUUAAAAAGCUCGUAGUUGAAUUUCGGGAUCAAGGAAUCGGUCAUGCCUUGGUAUGUACUGGUUUUAUUGGUUCUCACCUUCUAAAGAACCAUAAUGUCAUUCAUUUGAUGUUAUGGGGAAUUAGGACUGUUACCUUGAAAAAAUUAGAGUGUUUAAAGCAGGCUUACGCUUGAAUACAUUAGCAUGGAAUAAUGAAAUAGGACAUCAGAUUCUAUUUUGUUGGUUUCUAGGAUCGAUGUAAUGAUUAAUAGGGAUAGUUGGGGGCAUUAGUAUUCAAUUGUCAGAGGUGAAAUUCUUGGAUUUAUUGAAGACUAACUACUGAGAAAGCAUUUGCCAAGGAUGUUUUCAUUAAUCAAGAACGAAAGUUAGGGGAUCGAAGACGAUCAGAUACCGUCGUAGUCUUAACCAUAAACUAUGCCGACUAGGGAUCGGAUGAUGUUAAUUUUAUAAUGACUCAUUCGGCACCUUACG
rnacentral:rRNA from 1 species